UAAGGAAUCUUGCACAAUGGGGGAAACCCUGAUGCAGCAACGCCGCGUGAACGAUGAAGGCCUUAGGGUUGUAAAGUUCUGAUCUGUGGGAAGAAGAAGUGACGGUACCACAGGAGAAAGCCCCGGCUAAAUACGUGCCAGCAGCCGCGGUAAUACGUAUGGGGCAAGCGUUAUCCGGAAUUAUUGGGCGUAAAGAGUGCGUAGGUGGUUACCUAAGCGCAAGGUUUAAUCUUGAGGCUCAACCUCAUUCUGCCUUGCGAACUGGGCUACUUGAGUGCAGGAGGGGAAAGCGGAAUUCCCAGUGUAGCGGUGAAAUGCGUAGAUAUUGGGAAGAACACCGGUGGCGAAGGCGGCUUUCUGGACUGUAACUGACACUGAGGCACGAAAGCGUGGGGAGCAAACAGG
rnacentral:rRNA from 2 species